ACAAGUCGAGCGAACAGAUAAGGAGCUUGCUCCUUUGACGUUAGCGGCGGACGGGUGAGUAACACGUGGGUAACCUACCUAUAAGACUGGGAUAACUUCGGGAAACCGGAGCUAAUACCGGAUAACAUUUGGAACCGCAUGGUUCUAAAGUGAAAGAUGGUUUUGCUAUCACUUAUAGAUGGACCCGCGCCGUAUUAGCUAGUUGGUAAGGUAACGGCUUACCAAGGCAACGAUACGUAGCCGACCUGAGAGGGUGAUCGGCCACACUGGAACUGAGACACGGUCCAGACUCCUACGGGAGGCAGCAGUAGGGAAUCUUCCGCAAUGGGCGAAAGCCUGACGGAGCAACGCCGCGUGAGUGAUGAAGGGUUUCGGCUCGUAAAACUCUGUUAUUAGGGAAGAACAAAUGUGUAAGUAACUGUGCACAUCUUGACGGUACCUAAUCAGAAAGCCACGGCUAACUACGUGCCAGCAGCCGCGGUAAUACGUAGGUGGCAAGCGUUAUCCGGAAUUAUUGGGCGUAAAGCGCGCGUAGGCGGUUUCUUAAGUCUGAUGUGAAAGCCCACGGCUCAACCGUGGAGGGUCAUUGGAAACUGGGAAACUUGAGUGCAGAAGAGGAAAGUGGAAUUCCAUGUGUAGCGGUGAAAUGCGCAGAGAUAUGGAGGAACACCAGUGGCGAAGGCGACUUUCUGGUCUGUAACUGACGCUGAUGUGCGAAAGCGUGGGGAUCAAACAGGAUUAGAUACCCUGGUAGUCCACGCCGUAAACGAUGAGUGCUAAGUGUUAGGGGGUUUCCGCCCCUUAGUGCUGCAGCUAACGCAUUAAGCACUCCGCCUGGGGAGUACGACCGCAAGGUUGAAACUCAAAGGAAUUGACGGGGACCCGCACAAGCGGUGGAGCAUGUGGUUUAAUUCGAAGCAACGCGAAGAACCUUACCAAAUCUUGACAUCCUUUGAAAACUCUAGAGAUAGAGCCUUCCCCUUCGGGGGACAAAGUGACAGGUGGUGCAUGGUUGUCGUCAGCUCGUGUCGUGAGAUGUUGGGUUAAGUCCCGCAACGAGCGCAACCCUUAAGCUUAGUUGCCAUCAUUAAGUUGGGCACUCUAGGUUGACUGCCGGUGACAAACCGGAGGAAGGUGGGGAUGACGUCAAAUCAUCAUGCCCCUUAUGAUUUGGGCUACACACGUGCUACAAUGGACAAUACAAAGGGCAGCUAAACCGCGAGGUCAUGCAAAUCCCAUAAAGUUGUUCUCAGUUCGGAUUGUAGUCUGCAACUCGACUACAUGAAGCUGGAAUCGCUAGUAAUCGUAGAUCAGCAUGCUACGGUGAAUACGUUCCCGGGUCUUGUACACACCGCCCGUCACACCACGAGAGUUUGUAACACCCGAAGCCGGUGGAGUAACCAUUUAUGGAGCUAUCGGUU
rnacentral:rRNA from 1 species